rnacentral:snoRNA from 1 species
AAGCUACACUCUGUGGCAGUAGUCUGUAAAGACGAUGAUCUGUCUCAAUUUGAGCUUUGCUACAAUGACGUCCCGUCUCACUGAGAGGCGCUCGCUCUCCCGGGCGUCCUGCUGCAGAGACGGCGACAAC